rnacentral:rRNA from 1 species
UACGUAGGGGGCAAGCGUUGUCCGGAAUCAUUGGGCGUAAAGCGCGUGUAGGCGGCUCGAUAAGUCUGCUGUGAAAGUCCAGGGCUCAACCCUGGAAUGCCGGUGGAAACUGUCGAGCUAGAGUCCGGAAGAGGCGAGUGGAAUUCCUGGUGUAGCGGUGAAAUGUGCAGACAUCAGGAGGAACACCAAUGGCGAAGGCAGCUCGCUGGGACGGUACUGACGCUGAGACGCGAAAGCGUGGGGAGCGAACAGG